rnacentral:rRNA from 1 species
CUGUCCUACGGGGCGCAGCAGUGGGGAAUAUUGCACAGUGGGGGGAACCCUGAUGCAGCGACGCCGCGUGAGUGAAGAAGUAUUUCGGUAUGUAAAGCUCUGUCAGCAGGGAAGAAGAAAGACGGUACCUGACCAAGAAGCCCCGGCUAACUACGUGCCAGCAGCCGCGGUAAUACGUAGGGGGCAAGCGUUAUCCGGAUUUACUGGGUGUAAAGGGAGCGUAGACGGCAGGGCAAGUCUGGAGUGAAAGGCAGGGGCCCAAC